GAGAAACCAUGGGGUCAAGGAGGAAAUGCUGGUGUAUUACCUGCUGCCGCCACUGUCCCUCCUUCUGUCCUGGCCUCUGUGCUGUGGUGACAGAAAUCGCCCCGGAGCUGGGCUGCAGAGUUCUCCCCUGUGAUUAGAUGGGCCCGCUCUCCCCAUCUCAGUCAGCUGACUCCCAGCCUUAAUUGUACCCUGCAUCCUUGAUCCCCUUUUGUGAGUCUUGUCCAUGAUGACCUUCGUUUGCCCUGGAUCAUCAAGAAGAUUGUCAUCACAAACUUCCUCGUCACUCACUUCCCUUGUACACGCAGCCUUGGAAGCUACGUGUCCCGGAAGCCCUGGCUGAAGACAUUACGUAAACAAGAAACACACUUUCACUUUGUAGACCAUUCAGAUUUCAUGACUUAUUUAACAGCAGAGCCUAUCCUAUCCUGGCCAAUACCCAUAUCGAGUUUCCAUUUGUUGAUGUUUGUUGUGCAGUCCUUGUGCUAGGUGCUUAAAUAUAUCACCUCAUUUAAUCCUUUCAGUGAUCCUGGAAAGUAGUGACCCAUCAUGAAUGUGCUCAUUUUGCAGGAAAGGACGCUGAUACUCAGAGUGAGAGGUCAAGUGACUUGCCCAAUUCGGUGGCAGAGCUGGUUAGAACUAGUCAGAUACCUAAUGGCAAGGAUCUUAACCAAUUUUUUUUUACCUUUAAGAAAGCGUUUUCUAAAACGAUAAUGUACAUUCAGAUUUACCCAGAGGUCAUGUUAAGAUACAGGUUCUUAACAUGAGGUGUGGACCGGAGUCUGAAAGUACAGUUCUAACAAGCUCCCAGGUGAUGCUGAUAUUGCUGGUCCACGGAUCUAAGUAGCAAGAUUUUAAGCUCUAUUGUGCAUUGGUUUGGGUACAUGGCCACCCACCUCCCACCUUAUUUUAGGUAGAAAUUAUCCCUUGGAAGCUGAAAGAAAUCCGAGGGUAUCUCAGCAGGAGGGGGAUGCGCAAAACGAGGUCCAGAGAGGCCUGGCACUUGGUCUGGUACCUACCAGGUUGCUGCUCUUGCAUUUGACUGGAGAUUGAGGA